AGCUUUAUAGUCAAUAUAAUAUGAUAUUAGACUGCAAUUCUAAAGUAGGCUGUAUGCCUAAAGCUU
rnacentral:tRNA from 1 species